CACAAUUGAAAAUUUAAAAGUUAGAUUUUGUAAUUUUGUGCAAAAGAAGACGAAUUAUUCUACGAUAAACCUUUUUUAAAAACAAUAUUACGAUAAACUUGUGGCUGCAUUAUUGGCUGGGCGGUCCAUACAGCACACACGAGAUUUUUUUUUUUUUUUUUGUUAAAAAUGUUAAGUUUAUUACCAGUUUUCAUUUUUUACAGACGUACAAAGAUGACAAAGAGCAGAGCAAACAAAAUUUAAUCUACCAGAGACUCAAACCUAAUAUUACAGAGCCUAUCUACAAGCAAAACAACAGUACACAAAGGAAACAUCAGAGACCAAACCGUCACUUGCCACAGAAAUCAAACCCGCAGUUAAAACGAGAGCUUGAACCCGGUAGAAAUUGGCGUACCCGGUGACCAACUCUUAAUGAUCGGGUUGUCAAAAAACAGCUAGCUAAGUCCAUCUAAUCUGUUGCCUUUAAGAACAGACCGCCUCACUCGCGACCAAGGACACCUGCAAUGAAAAGGUCGAGCUUUAUUGGAGAAGGAACCCCCACAAGCGGCCACACGCCAUCAAACCUGCACCAGAAAGACAAAAAACAGCAACCUCCACCCUAAGGCAGAGGGGUCAUGAAGCAGCCCUAGAUCAGCUUCUGAAUCCUGCUAUCUCAGCACGCGCCGCCACCGAAGGGAAUCGCCGCGGUUGACAAGACCAGCUACUCAUCUCCUUGCACACGCCCCCGCGACGGAGAACCCGCCGAAGACCCUUCUGAUAUGGAAACGAAAGCAACCCGAGGAAGACCCUGAGAGGAAGAUUGACCGGCUCUAAAGCACAUUGUUGGAGAUCACCAAGGCAAGGGGGAAAAGCACCGCAGCUCCGCCGUCCAAGGGAACCCAUGACGCUUUCAGCCAAGCGAAUCUACUCACCCAUCCGAGAAGAGCCAACAUAAAAGGCAAGAGGAAGGAGAGAGAUCUCGCAACCAAAGUCCAGAUCUGACGCCAGAUCUAAACCCCCACCACCCUAGACGCCUAAAGGAUCCGCUCCUUCGCCGCGCUUCUCCGGAGUUUCGAGUCCGACGCGCCAGAUCCAACCCGCGCGGAGGCGCAAAGACACAUAAUCACCUAGAAAGGAAACAAAGUGGAGGAGGGAGAGGAGAGGCAAGAAGAAACAUAAAUAGAGAGAGGAGGGCGACCAGCAAUCACGGAGGAGGAAAAACGCCGCCGGCCGCCCAAAGGAGGAGGAGCAAUCAGGGUUUUCUUCGAGUGAGAGAGAGAGAGAGAGAGAGAGAGUACACACACAAGAUAGACAUAAAACUAAACACCAGUCCU
rnacentral:lncRNA from 1 species